UAUGAUGCCUGAAUCAAAUAUUUUUAGGCCAUAAUCCUGUCACCUUAGGUCGAUCGGUACCUCAAUUUAUUACUAAAUUAAUCUAAGAUAUUAGUUUUUAUUUGGUUUGAAUUCAGUUCCUAAACUUUGUCUAGGUCACACCCAGCAAUGGUACUCCUGGGCCAUUAGCUCAGGUGGUUAGAGCGCACCCCUGAUAAGGGUGAGGUCCCUGGUUCAAGUCCAGGAUGGCCCAUUCGGUGUUGGGGGUUUAGCUCAGUUGGUAGAGCGCCUGCUUUGCAAGCAGGAUGUCAGCGGUUCGAGUCCGCUAACCUCCACUGAUUUAACCUCCCUUCAAUUAAAGAUUAAGGAGGUUUCCUCUGUAAUUGUGAUUUAGAUUAGUUUUCCCUGAAUAAGACCCUAGCUUCUUAUCAUUCCUCAAAUUAAAUUUAUUUAAGAUGAGGCUGAUAUGACGCUGGGCUCACUGAAAUCGGAAAGAUUUCAGAAAAGUUCAGUAGAACCUUGACAACUGCAUAGGUGAGUCUGGAAAGAACAAAGCAUCUCAUGGAUACAUUAUUGCUUUUCCUUGUUAUGUAAAUACUGAAUUAUCAGUAUUACUAACUAUUUAAAAAGUAGUAAUGUUUAAUUCUUGAGCAAGAGCCGAGACUCAAUUAA
rnacentral:tRNA from 1 species